UACGGAAGGGGCUAGCGUUGUUCGGAAUUACUGGGCGUAAAGAGCGCGUAGGCGGCUUACCAAGUUGGGGGUGAAAUCCCGGUGCUCAACUCCGGAACUGCCUUCAAAACUGGUAGGCUCGAGUCCGGGAGAGGGGCGUGGAAUUCCGAGUGUAGAGGUGAAAUUCGUAGAUAUUGGGAAGAACACCGGUGGCGAAGGCGGCGCGCUGGACCGGUACUGACGCUGAGGUGCGAAAGCGUGGGGAGCAAACAGG
rnacentral:rRNA from 1 species